rnacentral:tRNA from 1 species
GCAUUGGUGGUUCAGUGGUAGAAUUCUUGCUUUCCAUGUGGGAGACCUAGGUUCGAUUCCUGGCCAACACA